AUGAACAUUUUUUCAUGUCUGUUGGCUGCAUAAAUGUCUUCUUUUGAGAAGUGUCUGUUCAUAUCCUCUGCCCACUUUUUGAUGGUGUUGUUUGUUUUUUUCUUGUAAAUUUGUUUAAGUUCUUUGUAGAUUCUGGAUAUUAGCCCUUUGUCAGAUGGAUAGAUUGCAAAAAUUUUUUCCCAUUUUGUAGGUUGCCUGUUCACUGUGAUGAUAGUUUCUUUUGCUGUGCAGAAGCUCUUUAGUUUAAUUAGAUCCCAUUUGUCAAUUUUGGCUUUAGUUGCCAUUGCUUUUGGUGUUUUAGUCAUGAAGUCUUUGUCCAUGCCUAUGUCCUGAAUGGUAUUGCCUAGGUUUUCUUCUAGGGUUUUUAUGGUCUUAGGUGUUGCAUUUAAGUUUUUAAUCCAUCUUGAGUUAAUUUUUGUAUAAGGUGUAAGGAAGGGGUCCAGUUUCAGCUUUCUACAUGUGGCUAGCCAGUUUUCCCAGCACCAUUUCUUAAAUAGGGAAUCCUUUCCCCAUUGCUUGUUUUUGUCAGGUUUGUCAAAGAUCAGAUGGUUGUAGAUGUGUGGUGUUAUUUCUGAGGCCUCUGUUCUGUUUCAUUGGUCUAUAUAUCUGUUUUGGCAACAGUGCCAUGCUGUUUUGAUUGCUGUAGCCUUGUAGUAUAGUUUGAAGUCAGCUAGCAUGAUGCCUCCAGCUUUGUUCUUUUUGUUUAGGAUUGUCUUAGUUAUGUGGGCUCUUUUUUGGUUCCAUAUGAAAUUUAAAGUAGUUUUUUCCAAUUCUGUGAAGAAAGUCAGUGGUAAUUUGAUGGGGAUAGCAUUGAAUCUGUAAAUUACCUUGGGCAGUGUGGCCAUUUUCACGAUAUUGAUCCAUGAGCAUGGAAUGUUCUUCCAUUUGUUUGUGUCCUCUUUUAUUUCAUUGAGCAGUGGUUUGUAGUUCUCCUUGAAGAGGUCCUUCACAUCCCUUGUAAGUUGGAUUCCUAGGUAUUUUAUUCUCUUUGUAGUGUGAAUGGGAGUUCACUCAUGAUUUGGCUCUCUGUUUGUCUGUUCUUGAUGUAUAGGAAUGCUUGUGAUUUUUGCACAUUGAUUUUGUAUACUGAGACUUUGCUGAAGUUGCUUAUCAGCUUAAGGAGAUUUUGGGCUGAAGUUGCUUGUCAGCUUAAGGAGAUUUUGGGCUGAUUUAGAUAUACAAUCAUGUCAUCUGCAAACAGGGACAGUUUGACUGCCUCUUUUCCUAAUUGUGAAUACCCUUUAUUUCUUUCUCUUGCCUGAUUGCCCUGGCCAGAACUUCCAAUACUAUGUUGAAUAGGAGUGGUGAGAGAGGGCAUCCUUGUCUGGAGCCAGUUUUCAGAGGGAAUGCUUCCAGUUUUUGCCCAUUCGGUAUGAUAUUGGCUGUGGGUUUGUCAUAAAUAGCUCUUACAAUUUUGAGAUAUGUUCCAUCAAUAUAGUUUGUUGAGAGUUUUUAGCAUGAACGGCUGGUGAAUUUUGUCGAAGGCCUUUUUUGCAUCUAUUGAGAUAAUCAUGUGGUUUUUGUCACUGGUUUUGUUUAUGUGAGGGAUUACAUUUAUUGAUUUGCAUGUGUUGAACCAGCCUUGCAUCCCAGAGAUGAAGCCGACUUGAUCAUGGAGGAUAAACUUUCUGAUGUGCUGCUGGAUUCGGUUUGCCAGUAUUUUAUUGAGGAUUUUCGCAUUGAUCUUCAUCAGGGAUAUUGGCUUAAAAUUCUCUUUUUUUUGUUGUGUCUCUGCUGGCCUUUGGUAUCAGGAUGAUGCUGGCCUCAUAAAAUGAGUUAGGGAGGAUUCCCUCUUUUUCUAUUGAUUGGAAUAGUUUCAGAAGGAAUGGUACCAGCUCCUCUUUGUACCUCUGGUAGAGUUCGGCUGUGAAUCUGUCUGGUCCUGGACUUCUUUUGGUUGGUAGGCUAUUAAUUAUUGCCUCAAUUUCAGAACCUGUUAUUGGUCUAUUCAGAGAUUCAGCUUCUUCCUGGUUUAGUCUUGGGAGGGUGUAUGUAUACAGGAAUUUAUCCAUUUCUUCUAGAUUUUCUAGUUUAUUUGCAUAGAGGUGUUUAUAGUAUUCUCUGAUGGUAGUUUGUAUUUCUGUGGAAUUGGUGGUAAUAUCCACUUUAUCAUUUUUUAUUGCAUUUAUUUGAUUCUUCUCUCUUUUCUUUAUUAGUCCUGUUAGUGGUCUAUUUUGUUGAUCUUUUCAAAAACCCAGCUCCUGGAUUCAUUGAUGUUUUUGAAGGGUUUUUUGUGUCUCUGUCUCCUUCAGUUCUGCUCUGAUCUUAGUUAUUUCUUGUCUUCUGCUAGCUUUUGAAUUUGUUUGCACUUACUUCUCUAGUUCUUUUAAUUGUGAUGUUAGGGUGUCGAUUUUAGAUCUUUCCUCCUUUCUUUUAUGGGCAUUUAGUGGUAUAAACUUCCCUCUACAUACUGCUUUAAAUGUGUCCCUCAGAUUCUGGUACAUUGUGUCUUUGUUCUCAUUCGUUUCAAAGAACAUCUUUAUUUCUGCCUUCAUUUCAUUAUUUACCCAGUAGUCAUUCAGGAGCAGGUUGUUCAGUUUCCAUGUAGUUGUGCGGUUUUGAGUGAGUUUCUUAAUCCUGAGUUCUAAUUUGAUUGCACUGUGGUCUGAGAGACAGUUUGUUGUGGUUUCUGUUCUUUUACAUUUGCUGAGGAGUGUUUUACUUCCAAUUAGGUGGUCAAUUUUAGAAUAAGUGUGAUGUGGUGCUGAGAAAAGUGUAUAUUCUGUUGAUUUGGGGUGGAGAGUUCUGUAGAUGUCUAUUAGGUCUGCUUGGUCCAGAGCUGAGUUCAAGUCCUGGAUAUCCUUGUUAAUUUUCUGUCUCAAUCUGUCUAAUAUUGACAGUGGGGUGUUAAAGUCUCCCAUUAUUACUGUGUGGGAGUCUAAGUCUCUUUGUAGGUGUCUAAGAACUUGCUUUAUAAAUCUGGGUGCUCCUGUGUUGGGUGCAUAUAUAUUUAGGAUAGUUAGCUCUUCUUGUUGAGUUGAUCCCUUUACCAUUAUAUAAGGGUCUUCUUUGUCUCUUUUGAUCUUUGUUGGUUUAAAGUCUGUUUUAUCAGAGACCAGGUUUGCAACCCCUGCUCUUUUUUGCUUUCCAUUUGCUUGGUAGAUCUUCUUCCAUCCCUUUAUUUUGAGCUUAUGUGCAUCUCUGCACAUGAGAUGGGUCUCCUGAAUACAGCACACUGAUGGGUCUUGACUCUUUAUCCAAUUUGCCAGUCUGUGUCUUUUAAUUGGGGCAUUUAGCCCAUUUACAUUUAAAGUUAAUAUUGUUAUAUUUGAAUUUGAUCCUGUCGUGAUGAUGCUAGCUGGUUAUUUCGCCUGUUAAUUGAUGCAGUUUCUUCAUAGUGUCGAUGGUCUUUACAAUUUGGCAUGUUUUUGCAGUGGCUGGUACAGGUUGUUCCUUUCCAUGUUUAGUGCUUCCUUCAGUAGCUCUUGUAAGGCAGGCCUGGUGGUGACAAAAUCUCUCAGCAUUUGCUUGUCUAUAAUGUUUUUUCUUUCACCUUCUUUGUGAUGGUAUAUUUAGCCAAUAUCUGAUUGUUGACUACUUAGGUUGUUUUACAGUUUUCAUCAUCAUAUAAAAUGCUGCAGUGAAUAUCCUUGUCACAAAUUCUUGUGCAUUUCUGUAGCUCUUUCUUUAGGAUAAAUUCUUUGACAGAAUUUUGGAGCCAAAGUCUGAAUACAUUUUGCAGUCAUUUUUACAUAGUACUAAAUUGCUUUAUAGAAAAUUUGCACCAAAUUAUUCUUCUAUCCUCAUUGUCUAGGAGCAUUCAUUUCUUCUGUCUUUUAUAGUUCUUUUUAAUAUUUUCUAGUUUACUAGGUGGAUAAAAGCAUCUCACUGUUGUUUCAAUUUGCAUUUUAUAAUUACCAACAAGGUUUAGUUUUUGAAUAUAUCUUUUGCCAUUUUGCCAUUUAUAUUUUUUCUUAUGUAAUCUGGCCCCCUUGUGUUGUUUUUCUUUUCUUUUCUUUUUCUUUUUGUUCCUUACUGCUUUGUAAGAGCCUCUCAUAUAAAAUGUCAGCAGAGUCUCAGCAAAAAGCAGAUGGCAUGUUAAGGAGCAUUUAAUGGCAGGAUUGUUUGCAAAUUGUGUGCAUAAAGUUUAGGGAUCCCAACAAGGAGUAGUGCAGUAGCCCUGGGCUUGCAAAAGUGGGGGCCAGUUACCACCCCUAAGCCUGGCGAUGCUGAGAGAGAGGGCAAUUACUGGGACCACGAAAGGGCUCCUGACCAAAGUUCUCAUCUUCCUUAGAGGGAUACAGUCAACUCACAGAGACUCAGUAAAAAGGGAGACAGUGGCAUGAAUUCCCUAACCCAGGACUUUCCUUCCUCCCUUCCAUCUGUUGACGGUGCCUCCAACUGGCCAAACCGAACAGGGAGCCAGAGGGGCAGGGAACAGCUGCUGGACAUGUCUCGGCCUCUUGGGGCCUUAAACAGGGCAGGGAAGGGUGGAGAAUUGAUCUGGAGGCAAACAGAAGAUGACUAGACACCCAAAGAUAAUAAUUUCUUUUCUGGGAUAUGUAUUUUAAACUUAUUUCCUCAGUUUAUUUACUGUCAAUAUUGUUUAGAGUUUCAAUAAUUUUAUGUAGGCAUAUCAACCAAUUUUGAUGAUUUUUCCUUUGGUAUUCUUGUUUAAGAAAGCAUUCCUCAUCCCCAACAUUGUGUCAUUAUUCAACCAUAAAUCGAGUGUUUUCCCUCUAGAAUUUGAAGGAGAAAUAAUUAUUUAAAAGAUGCAAAUAAGUAGAAUUUCAUUUUAACAGCUUAAUUCUUUCUUUCCAAGGGAGUGUAAGUCCUUGUACUCCUUCUUUCCACUUUGUGUAAUUGGUUGGUUGAGUGUGCUGAUCUUGAAAGGUACAAACUGGGAAAGAGUUGUUUUUUUUUUCUCCAUGCUGUCUUUUUUUUUUUUUUUUUUUAAACACAGGAUGUUGUCUGUCACCCAGGCUGGAUUACAGUGGUGUAAUCACAGCUCACUGCAGCCUUGACUUCCCUAAGCUCAGGUGAUCCUCCCACCUCAGCCUCCUGAGUAGCUGGCACUACAGGCAGGUGCCACCACACUCAACUAAUUUUUGUGUUUUUUGUAGAGGUGGGGUUUUUUCCAUGUUGCCCUGGCUGGCCUUGAACUCCUGGGCUCAAGCAGUCUGCCCACCUUGGCCUCCCAAAGUGCUGGGAUUACAGGUGUGAGCCACCACGCCUGGACUCAGCGCUGUCUUAAACCCCCUUUGUUGACUCAGCCUUCUGCCAGUGAUGAGCUGGCUGGGACCAGCUGGUGAAAACCAAUUGUUAAAUAGACAGGAAUUUUACAAGCUGGUUGCGAAACCGUUUGCAGCUGAAAAUCAGCCAUGAUGGGAGAAUUUACACUAUGGGCAUCAACAAAUACUACGAACAGGGCUUCUCCCACCCACCGCCCCCCUCCCCCUGCUUCCAGUUGAGUUUACCUGCACACCACUGCUCUUACCCACUUCUUUUUGAGCACUUCCAGGAGAUAAUGGGGACAUGAGCUAUUCUUCUCUCUUCCACUUUGGUUUUUCUCUCCGCUUCUCCCAUCUCUUCCUAUUCCUGCUGGCUCCUGCAGGGGCACAGAGGUGGGGGGAUUGGAAGAAGAGGGGUUAAAAAUCUUUAAUAAUUUGUGUUAUGGUAGAAAGAGGGUUCGUAAGUGUUCUCUGUUAUGGCAGGUGUCCAUUUAUUGGCUGUUCGGCAUGUUUGGAGAAUAUGCCCAAGAUCCCCCUUACCAACUUUGAUCUGAGCAAGACAUUUUCCAGCUGAAUACUGGUGAAACCCCUUGGAGUUAACCUAUAUCCUCUUUCUAUCAGGAACCCCUUCAGCUAAGCAGGCAGCCACUUGCAACAGGGCCCUUUCAAACUAGCUCACACCAGGGCCCCACUAAUUUCCACAAUAUACACUUGACUCAUGGGAAGCCUCACACAUCCUUGCCCAGCCAAAAGGAGUGAAUGCACUGACCCAGAGGCUGCCCUUCAUCCUUCCAGGCACUGCAGCAGCUCCAGCCUCCAUCUACCUUCGGUCACCUCUGGGCGAGAGGCACCUUCAACCUCUACCUUCCCACAUGGCAGGCAUGCAAGGCAGGCUCUCCGGAAAACUGUCUUCCCCAACUCCAACAGCAGCUGGAUGACCUGUGAGUUUUAGGCACUCAGCAAGUGUCCAGCUGAGAAGUAAAAUGUCAGUCUCUUCCUUUUGUAAAUCUCCGCAAUCUCCCCAAGAGGGGUUCUCUUGGAGCCUCUCACCGGGCUUAGGGGAUGCACCCUUUGAGAGAGGGGAAACCCAAUAGCACAUUGACUCUUGUAAAUUUCCUUCAGGGCAUCUCCCCUUCAGUGACUCUCCAGCCUUCUCUUCUUAGCCUGGAGGUGGGUCACCACUUCUUACCAAGUCCUUCACGGCUACUCUAGGAGCUUUUCCUCAGAAUAUGGGGUAACUGUCAUCUGUUGCCUCAACAAUUCCCAUUCCAUAAACUGACACAUCAAGGACCUUGAAAAGACAAUCCUGCUCCCAACCUGAUCACAUUGAAGACAGGCUGCAAUUGCAAGGCCUCUGCAGAUUGUUUAUACUGCUAAAGGGUGGUGACCCCUGAAAAAUAGUUCUUUGCUCAGCAGAGCACCUUGAUGAGUGUUUGGAUAUGAAAAAAAAUGCCUAAGGCCAGGCACGGUGGCUCAUGCCUGUAAUCCCAGCACUUUGGAAGGCCAAGGCAGGCAGAUCACCUGAGCUCGGGAGUUUGAGACCAGCCUGGGCAAUGUGGCAAAACCCCAUCUCUACCAAAAAAUAGAAAAAAUUAGUUGAGUGUGGUGGUGCAUGCCUGUGGUCUCAGCUACUCAGGAGGCCGUGGUGGGAGAAUUGCUUAAACCUGGGAGGUGAAGGUUGCAGUGAGCCAAGGUUGCACCACUGCUCUUCAGCCUGGGUGACAGAGUGAGACCCCAUCUCUAAAUUAAUUAAUUAAUUGAAAGAAAAUAAAUGCCUGGGACAAAUCUUUUUAUUGAUGAGAGAACAACAAUUCUAUACCUGAUAAGGCAAGGAGAAUUCUGAUGUUCUAGUAGCAGCCUGACCCAGGAAUUUACUUAAGGUGUGUGUAGGCGAAUGGGAGGGUAGAAGAACUUCUGGGAAAUGAUGACUAAUAUUCUAUUUGAAGCUGUUGCUAUGCCAUAUUCCUAAAUCUUCAGCAAAAUUCUGCUAUAAAUAACUUCCUUGUGUUUGUGUAAUUUGAGGAAAUCAAGAAGAAAAGAGGCAAUCUGGGAUGGUGAAUUUUAUGUGUCCACUUGACUGGGCCAGGGGCUACCUGGAGAUGUAGUCAAAUAUGAUACUGGGAGUUUCAGUGAGAAUGUUUCUAAAUGAGAUUGACAUUGGAAUUGGUAGACUGGGUAAAGCAGAUGGCCCUCCCUAAUAUGGGGGGGUGGCGCUUCAUCCAACCAGUGGAAGGCCUGAAUAGAACAAAAAGGUUGAGUAAGAGAGAGUUCCUUCUGCCUGACAGCCUUUGAGCUGAGACAUUGCUUUUUGGGCUGAGCUGAAACAUUGGCUCCUUCUGGGUCUCAGCGCCUGCUAGUCUUCAGACUGGAGCUACACCGUCAGCUCUCCUGUGUCUCAGGCUUGUAGACUGCCAGUCUUGGUCUCUGUAAUUGCAUGAGCCAAUUUCGUGUGUGUGUGUGUGUGUGUGUCUGCGUGUCUGCGUGUGUCUGUGUGUUUUGCAGUGGAUGGGGAUUGCUGAGUUUCUUCCAAUCAUGGGAGCCUAAGCAAGUUCAGCUAAAUAUGAAGAGAGGAAAGGUGGUCUCUAAAAACUGACCACACUCAAGCAGCCAAUGUUUACAGUGGUAAGCCUGUAGGAAACAAAUAAUUUAAUUUUGUUUUCUUAGCAGAACCUGAAGGUCUUUCAUUUUUAGCUGGGAAACCUAGGUUGGUUACAUACUGUUACUGCUGUAGUGGCUGGACUCCUCUUUACCCAGGUGCUGUGUGGUCAUUUUCAUGUCAUCUUUCUGUCCUCUUUUUAUGGAGACUCUAUUUUGUUUGUUUUUUUUUUCUUCUGCAGUGGUAGGGAGAUGUCUCAUUUUUAAAUGCUAUUCAUUAUCAUCAUUAGUUUUUGUUUUCCUUCUUAAACCUAUAAUUAUAACUCUGUUAAUGUCUAAAACAACAUGAGACAAUUUCCUCCCACAAGAGAAGAUGAAGAAACUGAGCAUGGUGGUUCAUAUCUAUAAUCCCAGCACUUUGGGAGGCUGAGAUAGGAGAACUGCUUGAGCUCAGGAAUUUGAGAGCAGCCUGGGCUACACAGUGAGACCCCAUCUCUACAAAAUAAAUAAAUAAAUAAAUAGCUGGGCAUGGUAGCAUGAGCCUGUAGUCCCAACUACUCAGGGGGUGAGGUAGGAGGAUCCCUUGAGCCUGGGAGGUCGAGGCCACAGUGAGCUAGGAUCAUGCUUCUGCACUCCAGCCUGGGUAACAAAACGAAACCCUCUGUCUCAAACAAAAAAAAGAAACAGAGAGAGAGAGAGAGAAGAUGAAGAGCUUAACACAGCCACCCGCUCUGCAUGCUCCCUUCUUGUAUCUUUUGUGCUUAUUAUUACCAUAUAUCCCGGGUUUGUAAAACCCAACUUUCCUUUGUAAAUAUUAACAAUUGGCUAUCUCAAAAUUGCUUUUGGCUUUGCACCGAAUUCUGUGUUUAUAUUUAUAAAACUUAUUGCAAUAUCUUUGUGGUUUUAGGGUUGGCUGCUGGCUUUUUUUUCCUGUUCCCCUUACCCCAAUUUUAAAUUCUUGAUUUUGUUUCUCUGUCUGAUUUAGAGAAUACCUUAGAGUAAUGUUUUCUGGAAGAGCACCCAAGUGCUACUCUUUCUAAGCCUUUGUGUGUCCGAGAACUGUUUUCUUUUGCUGUCACCAUGAAUAACACCUAAGCCCAACUUUUCUGUAGACAUGUUCCUUGUCUUCAGUAAUUAGUGUGUGGGGACCAGGGGAAGAAAGAAGGAAUCUUGCAGUCGAGGGGAGCAGUUGGACGCCUUCUGAUUCUUAGCCCAGAGCUCUCUGUCCACCACACUUCAUGUCAUCAUAGCUGGGCAGCCUUGUAUAAAAUCCUUUCUAAACCGGCUGCCUAGGCUCUUAGGGUCUUUUUUAUUUUAUUUUAUUAUUAUUUUUUUAGACAGGAUCUCCCUCUGUCACCCAGGCUGGAGUGUAGUGGUGCGAUCUCGGCUCACCCCAGACGCUACCUUCCAGGCUCAAGUGAUCCUCCCACCUCAGCCUGCUGAGUAGCUGGGACCACAGGCAUGCACCACCACACCUGGGUAAUUUAUGUAUUUUUUGUAGAGAUGAGGUUUUGCCAUGUUGCCAGUCUGGUCUCGAACUCCUGGGCUUAAGUAAUCCUCUUGCUUCGGCCUCCCAAAGUGUUGGGAUUACAGGCGUGAGCCACUGUGCCUGGUCUCUUAGAGACUCCUGAAACCACACUUCUCAGCUGGGCGCAGUGGCUCACACCUGUAAUCCCAGCACUUUGGGAGGCCUAGGCGGGUGGAUCGCCUGAGGCAAGGAGUUUGAGACUAGCCUGGCCAACAUGGUGAAACCCCGUCUCUACUAAAAAUACAAAAAAUUAGCCAGGCGUGGUGGCUCAGGCCUGUAAUCCCAGCUACUCAGGAGGCUAAGGCAGGAGAAUCACUUGAACCUGGGGGGUGGAGGUUGCAGGGAGCCGAGAUUACAUCACUUCACCCCAGCCUGGGCUAAAGAGACUGUCUCUCUCACACACACACACACACACACACACACACACACACACACACAAACACACACUUCUCAAACUUUACUGUGCAAACAACUACCCUGGGUCCCUUCUUAAAAUGCAGAUUCUGAUUCAGCUGAUCUGGGAGAGCCUGAGAUUGGGCAUUUCUAACCAGCUCCUGGUUAUACUCCUGGGUGGUGCUGAAUUUUUUUUUUUUUUUUCUAGUAGAGACAAGCUCUCGCUAUGUUGCCCAGGCUGGUUUUGAAUUCCUGGGCUCAAGCGAUUCACCUGCCUCAGCCUCCCAAAGUGCUGGGGCUACAGGUGUGAACCACCUCCCCCAGCUGAUGCUGAUACUGCUGAUGUCAUUGGCCUAUGGACCACGCUGAGUAGCAGGCUUUAGAGCAUAGGCGUCCAAUCUUUUGGCUUCCCUGGGCCACAUUGGAAGGGGAAUUGUCUUGGGCCAUACCUAAAAUACACUAACACUAACGAUAGCUGAUGAGCUUUUAAAAAAUGCAAAAAAAUCUCAUAAUAUUUUAAGAAAGUUUACAAAGUAGUGUUGGGCUGCAUUCAAAGCCAUCCAGGGCUGCAUGUAGCCCACUGGCUGUGGGUUAGAGGAGCUUGCUUUAUAGCUUUCAAAGCUGAGUCAUGCAUGUUGUUGAUUCUGUUUGAUGCUCCUGAUUGUUUUCUGUGAGGGAGGGCAGUUCCUGGGACAAUGAACUCCUCCCUCCAUCCCCUUCCCCAACCCUCACCAUUACCUCUUUCUGCUCCCCUUCUCACCCCAACCCAGCCCUGAGGACAUGAGGGCACUGCCAGGUGCCUGUGGACUUGAUCCUCCCAGGAUUAAGCCCUUACCACCACCCACAUCCUACUCCUUUCCCUGCCAUUGAGAAAACCUCUGCCGCCUACCUAGCCCCCAGGCUAAAACAGCUAGGAUGGGGUCAAAGGGCUCAGGAUUUUGGCUUCAGUACUGGAGGCAGGAGGGUUGCGCCAGGGUCGGCUUUUAUGCCUUUGUUCAACACAGCAAGCACACAUUACCCAACAGAACUCUGCCAGAUAUGGGAAAACCUGUGGCCUGUGCUCUGCAGGAGGCUACAGUUUGGGGGAAGGGGUGAAUGACAGCCUGGGACAGGGGGUGCAAUAUCAAGGCACUGGGCCCAGGAGAGGAAGGAGAAAGCUGCCAGGCAUGGGUCAGAGAAGGCUUUGUGUGGAGCUACACCCUGGAACAUGAGUAGACGUGAGCCAAACCGAGAGGAGAGAGGGCAGGGCGGGUCAGGUCAUCCACCAUGUUAUGAGGACUCUAAGAUCCUUGAGCCAGUGGGAGGGGAUGAGGAUUAGGGCUCAUCUGGGGAUUGGGGAUGAGGAAGGAAUGGGUGACCAGACUGGAGAUGCAGGCAUAUGCCACCUCAGGGACUGCCUGUGUGCCCAACUUAGCAUACCCUGUGUGCCUGUGGGUAUGGGAACAAAAUUCUCCCAAACGCCUGCUUCCGGCUUUGUGCCGUUGCGUUUUCUUUAGGCAGAUGUUGUUAGCUGUCACUGCACUGACCUCUAAGGCCACCCCAGCCUCCAUGAGUGAAUGCCCACGCCUUCACCCCUCUAGUCUGUGGGGAGGAACCCCACCCCCUUUCCUCCAGCAACUCCUACACGUCGCCUCCAGGCCUUUCCAGCACCAUUCCCUCACCAGGAAUGUUCUUUGUCGUUCUUCACUUAGUUCAUUCCUAUACAUUCUGCAAAACUUCCUCUGCCAUGCUUUUCUGACCUGUCCCCUCCCAGGCUGGUGAGGGAGAGCAGAUCAUCCUGUCUGUCUCCCUGCGGAUGGGAACGGGAGGUGCCCACUGGUCACCUAAUGCAUUGCACAGUGACUACCUGUGGGAUCUGGUGAUUAUUGCAGGGACAAAUGUUGAAUGACCCUGAAGUGCCUGCCUGUCCCUCCACCCCAACCUCUCUGUGGCUUCUUUUGCUGUGCGUCUAGCUGGGUGCAGUGUCCCAUUGCUCGAUGGUUCCUCGUUGGCGUCUGCUUUCCUAGUCCUCCCUGGAUGCCUCUUCUAUUGCACCUACUGAAUCAGUGGGCUGUGCUCUCUUUCACGCAGUGACAUGUCUGGCUGAGAAGUCACUAGUAACCCCCCAACCCCUAUCAUCACAGCCAGUGGGCCCUAAAGCUGGCCCUGUGUUUGGCCCAACCUUCCACUUUGCCUCUCAUGACUGAGCCUUGAUUUAUGCCCAGGUGUCCUCAAGCCCACACCCUGAUAGCUGCCCCUCUGUCAGACUGUGCCUCUUAUAAAAGGCCCUUCUCUUAUCCAUCUCUGACUCUCAGGCCAACACCUGUCCUACUUCCACUCACUGAGCUUCCCUGACCAAUCCAGGCGAUGAUCACUCCCUGCCCUCGGAACCCAGCCACACCACUCACUGGGCAGACCCCUGAGCCCCUUCCAGUGCUGCCUGAGGUGCCCUCUACCUGUGCCUGCCUCUCUUGUCUGCCAGUUUGAUUUGGACCUGUUUUUCCCACCUCAACCCCCAUGCUCUUGUCAAACAUGUGUUUGGCCUCUAGCCAAACAGGGCCUGGGAGGAAAAGAGAGUCCUACUUCUGCCUGGCUUCCCCAUCGGGGAGGGGAGUUGAAGUGACAGCCUCCUGACGGCUUAGAAAUGUGGAGGACGCAGCAUGUUCUGGACAUGGCCGACCAUAUGAAUGAUAUCUUCUCUUUCUUUGAACCAUCUCCACCUGCUCAUAUGGACACCCCGCCUUGGGGCAGGGCAAGGUAAGAUCUUGACAUAUGACUAGCUCUUGAGAAUAAGGCCACAGAAGUAAGGCGGACACAUGGGGUGAUUUCAUCAGCCUUAUUAUCCUUAGAUAACUGGUUAUCUUAGGUUAUCCGUAGAUAAGUUAUUAUCCCUAGAUAAAAUGAAGCCCAUUUUAAUAGAAAAUGAAACAAACAGACAAGAUGAUGACAUCCUUUGUAUGUUUACUAUAAUACAGCAAAAUUUUCCAGACCAGAGCCAAUUUCCUCGGCUCUAGGUACACCCCUUCCAAGCAAUGCAAAGGACAUCUCCAAUCAUGACAUUUAAGAGAAUUCUUUAUUUCUCUGACAGUGACUUCUUGAAGUGCACAUAUAAUAAAUAAAUAGAAAAUAUGUCUUUGUUCAUGGUGAUGCCUACAAGAAAUGUUUACAUACCAACACUCUAUACAUCUAACUCCCGAAAAAGGACCAGCUAUUUCGGCAACAGAAAAAAGACAAGCAUUUCAGAGGAGCGUUGCUUUCCUUAAAGACCUAACUCACUUAAGUCUUACAAACAGAAAUAACAAGGAGGACAAUUUUCUAAGCAAUAAGAAAAUUUGUGCUACCAAGAAAAUGCCUAGAUAUUGGCUCUUGGUGAAUGGUUUAGGAAAGAAAGUUUUAUGUACAGAUCCGGUACUGUGAAACAUAUGUACAACUCUGAGAACUUUCAAAUAGAUAUAUUUUUUAAAUGAACUGAGCCAAAGACAUUCAACAUUCCUGGCCACCUGAAAGUGAUCACAUCCUAAGUGGUUCACAGUGUGAGACCCUUGCAUUAAAAGAGUGAAAACUCAACAAAACCGUGGACAAGAAGGACAUGAGGUCAUUUUAACUCUCCUCUCCAUCACCGCUAAUCUCCCUGGAAGAAGUCCUUCCUGUGACUCUGGCCUUUGAAGCAGCCAUAUCUUUAAAAGCAGAGCCCUAUGGUCCCCUCCCAGCAGCUGAAAGAUGUUUGGUGGGAAAGACCUCCCUGGCAGUUGGCUCCCACCUGGGGAAUGGACUCUCGGACCGAGUCUCAUGGGUGCAGUUGGGUGGAGGGAGCCAGGCAGGCCCCUUUGAAGGAAAGAGUUUGUGGUUGGGGCAGGAAAGGGGAUAAACAUAGUUCAUCACAAGACCCAGGGAGACCCCAGUGCCUCGUGCAAGAUUAUAAACCACAGAUAGAGUUCUCCCUCUUA